UCCUCUCUCUGUUCAAACAGAGAAACCCACUGUCGCCAUCUUCUCUGACGACGCCUCGCCUCGAGACUACCGCCGAUGUGAUCCUUCUACUCUCUCCUACAGUAUCUACAUAAGCGCCAUGUAGCUAGACGCCGGCGAACCCGAGCCUUGAAGCAGUCGACUGUUCGACGCCAUUUCCUCGAGCUCCGACGAUGAGGAUGAGCUCCUCUUUGUAAAAUCCUUCCCUAUUCCUCAAUUCCUAAUCGAUUGGCUAGCUUUUAACUAUGAUUAGGUAUUUAGACUCACUUGUAUCUGGAUAUUGUCUUCGACGUGUUCUUCAAACCCCGGAGACUGUGUUCAUCGUUCUCAGAGGCGCACUGUGAAUUCUGGGUUGUGGUGAAGCAUAAGCAGCAACAGAAAGGCUUGGGAGGUGAAAAGGAGGUCGCAACAGCUUGGAUCGAAUGUGUUGGAGCUCGGAGGCGAUGGGAUCGUCUUCAGAUCUUGGUUGAGUUAUGAGAUGGACUUAAGGAACGUGAUUCUAUGUGGAGCACGAGAAGUGUGACUUGGGGCGCGGACUUCGGCACUGUUAUCUCAGGUACCUGGCAGCCGGGGUGUAAGGACUUGAACUCAGUGCUAGUGGCAUUGCAUCGCUCGUGGUUCACUUCUGAUAACGAGGAGCCAGCUUCCGGUGUGAUUUCCUUAUUUCUCGAUCUCCGUUCCUACUUCAAUAAACGCAUUGUCAUGUACUCUGUUUAUUUACAUUCAGACUUGCAUUUCUUUCCCGUUGGCCCAUACUUAUUGUGAUGACAUCUUUUAUUCACAUUGUUGUUGAUCAUUUCUGAAGUAUUUGCUACCUUCCAUUAUUUUAUAAUAAAACAGUAUUUCAACCUCUUUGCUUCAAA